rnacentral:rRNA from 1 species
GCCCAAUCGUAAACUUUUACUUACUACCUAACCGCCCGAAAACUACGAGCCCUGCUUAAAACUCAAAGGACUUGGCGGCAUCCCAUAUCCCACUAGAGGAGCCUGUCCUAUCAUCGAUAAUCCCCGUUAAACCUCACCCCUUUUAGCCUUUCAGCUUGUAUACUUCCGUCCUUAACCCACCACAUGAGCGAAACUCAGUGGCAACAUCGCCUAACCCGCACAUAUGUCAGGUCAAAGUGCAGCAAAUAAAGCGGGAAGAGAUGGGCUACAUUCUCUAACAUAGAACAUACGAAAGACAAUAUGAAAUCUAGUCUGAAGGUGGAUUUAGAAGUAAGGAGAGAAUAGAGUGCUCUCCUUAAUUAGGCACUGAGAUGUGUA